GCGAUGGUGUAGCGGUAGCACGCGCCCCCGACAUGGGUGAAACGCAAGUUCAACUCCUGCCAGAGGUCGCA